UACUCGCUUGCUCACUGACAGGGACACAAAAACAGAGCCGUAACCCAGCUCUAAGCCCCCUCCUCUUCUUCUCUUAAAGGGCCACCCGCGCUUCAGUCCAUCCGUCACAAAGUCUUCGCGGCCGCCAGGAGUCAGAGAACAACUUUUACCGGGGUUGUGCAUGCAGGCUGUAGUCACCCAGUUGGCCAGAAGGGGUCACUGGUGAGCACCGAGACGCUCCUAGAACGGGGAUGUGAUUUACUCAUUUAUUUUGGUUCAUUGAGGUAUCUAAUGCUUUUGCGUUGCAUCGUAUCUGUAAUCUCUCUUUUUUCAAGCAUUAACAUCUGCGAUUGUUCAACUGAAAGCCUUUUUUCAUAUUUUUAUUUAUGUCUAUCUAGAAUCAUCUUUAAAGUAGUCUUGAAAUAAUUUGAUUUACUGUUUUCAGCAUUUUUAAUUAAAAGAAACCAUAUAACCCCUUCAGGAUUCACUUUCAGAUAAUACUGAAGUACAUCUAUUACAGGUCUAUAGGUAAAUAAAAUACCGUGAAAGCAGAUGCAUGUUGAAAUAAGGAGCAGAUAAUUCUUCUGUGUUGAAUAAAGAUCCAGACCCAUAUUCAUAAAGUAUCAUGUAGUGGGAGCACUGAUCUAAGACCAUGUUUCCACUGUCAAAAUCCUAAUCUUAUCCACUAUAAACUAAAAGUCAAAAGCAGUCCUAUUAUGGCAUAUUUCAUUAAUCUGAACCUAAGCUUUGAUACAAUAUUUUAUAGU